rnacentral:rRNA from 1 species
UACGAAGGGGGCUAGCGUUGCUCGGAAUCACUGGGCGUAAAGCGCACGUAGGCGGAUUGUUAAGUCAGGGGUGAAAUCCUGGAGCUCAACUCCAGAACUGCCUUUGAUACUGAGGAUCUUGAGUUCGGGAGAGGUGAGUGGAACUGCGAGUGUAGAGGUGAAAUUCGUAGAUAUUCGCAAGAACACCAGUGGCGAAGGCGGCUCACUGGCCCGAUACUGACGCUGAGGCACGAAAGCGUGGGAGCAAACAGGG